rnacentral:rRNA from 1 species
CGGUAAUUCCAGCUCCAAUAGCGUAUACUAAAGUUGUUGCAGUUAAAAAGCUCGUAGUUGGAUUUCUGCGGGGACGGAGCGGCCGGACGCAACUUGCGUCUCGAGCUAGCGCUUUCCCCGCAUCCUGCCGCGAACCGUGCUACCAUUAGUUUGGUGGCGCUGGGGAUCGGCUCGAUUACUUUGAGAAAAAUAGAGUGUUCAAAGCAGGCCACACGCCUUGAAUAAGUUAGCAUGGAAUAAUGACUAAGGACUUCGGUUCUAUUUUGUUGGUGUUCGGGACUGAAGUAAUGAUUGAUAGGGACAGUUGGGGCGGUCUGUAUUCCAAAGCGAGAGGUGAAAUUCUUAGACCUUCGGAAGACAAACAGCUGCGAAAGCGUUCCGCAAGGAUGUUCCCUUUGAUCAAGAACGAAAGUUGGGGGAUCGAAGACGAUCAGAUACCGUCGUAGUCUCAACUAUAAACUAUACCAGCUAGGGAUCGGUCAACGUUUAAUUAUUCGACUUGAUCGGCACCUUAUGAGAAAUCAAAGCAUCUGGGUUCCGGGGGGAGUAUGGUCGCAAGGCUGAAACUUAAAGGAAUUGACGGAAGGGCACCACCAGCCGUGGAGCCUGUGGCUUAAUUUGACUCAACACGGGAAAACUUACCAGGUCCAGACAUAGUAAGGAUUGACAGAUUGAUAGCUCUUUCUUGAUUCUGUGGGUGGUGGUGCAUGGCCGUUCUUAGUUGGUGGAGUGAUUUGUCUGGUUAAUUCCGUUAACGAACGAGACCCCAGCCUGCUAAAUAGCGCGGCUGAGCUUUGCUCGGUGCGAGCUUCUUAGAGGGACUAUGAUGCGCGAUAGCACAUGGAAGUUUGGGGCAAUAACAGGUCUGUGAUGCCCUUAGAUGUUCUGGGCCGCACACGGGCUACACUGGCGCCUGCAACGAGCAUAUCAGCUGGCCCGAGAGGGUCUUGGCUAAUCUUUUGAACCGGCGCCGUGCUUGGGAUUGACCUUUGCAAUUGUUGGUCAUGCAACGAGGAAUGCCUUGUAAACGCGAGUCAUCAGCUCGCAUUGAAUACGUCCCUGCCCUUUGUACACACCGCCCGUCGCUCCUACCGAUGAAUGUUCCGAUGAAAUUUUCGGAGAGCGCCAGAGAACGGGGCUCCGCCUUGCAGAUCUGGAGGCUCAAAGUCACUUAAAUCUGAACAUUUCGAGGAAGGAGAAGUCGUAACAAGGUAGCCG